rnacentral:rRNA from 1 species
UAAGGAAUAUUGGACAAUGGUCGCAAGACUGAUCCAGCCAUGCCGCGUGCAGGAAGACGGCCCUAUGGGUUGUAAACUGCUUUUGUACCAGAGGAAUAAGCACCGGCUAACUCCGUGCUAGCAGCCGCGGUAAUACGGAGGGUGCGAGCGUUAUCCGGAUUUACUGGGUUUAAAGGGUGCGUAGGUGGGCUUAUAAGUCAGUGGUGAAAUCUCCGAGCUUAACUUGGAAACUGCCGUUGAUACUAUAGGUCUUGAAUUAUCUGGAGGUAAGCGGAAUAUGUCAUGUAGCGGUGAAAUGCUUAGAUAUGACAUAGAACACCAAUUGCGAAGGCAGCUUACUACAUAUAAAUUGACGCUGAGGCACGAAAGCGUGGGGAUCAAACA